UACGUAGGGUGCGAGCGUUAAUCGGAAUUACUGGGCGUAAAGGGGGCGUAGGCGGUUCGUUAAGUCUGUCGUGAAAUCCCCGGGCUCAACCUGGGAAUGGCGAUGGAUACUGGCGAGCUAGAGUGUGUCAGAGGAUGGUGGAAUUCCCGGUGUAGCGGUGAAAUGCGUAGAGAUCGGGAGGAACAUCAGUAGCGAAGGCGGCCAUCUGGGACAACACUGACGCUGAAGCACUAAAGCGUGGGGAGCAAACAGG
rnacentral:rRNA from 1 species